GACUCUCGGCAACGGAUAUCUCGGCUCACGCAUCGAUGAAGAACGUAGCAAAAUGCGAUACUUGGUGUGAAUUGCAGAAUCCCGUGAACCAUCGAGUUUUUGAACGCAAGUUGCGCCCGAAGCCUUUCGGCUGAGGGCACGUCUGCCUGGGCGUCACAC
rnacentral:rRNA from 1 species